AUGUCGCAAUUUUGGUGGGGUGGCGAGGACAAUCAGAAGAGGAUGCAUUGGAUGGCAUGAUGGAAAAUGUGUGUUCCAAAAGAUCAAGGAGGUAUGGGCUUCCGAGAUAUACACUGUUUCAACCUGGCUCUAUUAGCUAAACAAGCGUGGCAUUUUCUUGAUAAUCCGGAAUCUUUAUGUGCAACCAUAUUGAGAGUUAAAUAUUUCCCUGAGGGAGAUUUGAUGAACGCAAGGUUAAAGAAGGGAUCUUCGUUUACUUGGCAAAGCAUUAUGGCGGGA
rnacentral:rRNA from 1 species